rnacentral:rRNA from 1 species
UCGAACGAUGAAGCCCAGCUUGCUGGGUGGAUUAGUGGCGAACGGGUGAGUAACACGUGAGUAACCUGCCCUUGACUCUGGGAUAAGCGCUGGAAACGGCGUCUAAUACCGGAUACGACCUGCCCCGGCAUCGGGUGCGGGUGGAAAGUUUUUCGGUCAAGGAUGGACUCGCGGCCUAUCAGGUAUUUGGUGAGGUAAUGGCUCACCAAGCCGACCACGGGUAGCCGGCCUGAGAGGGUGACCGGCCACACUGGGACUGAGACACGGCCCAGACUCCUACGGGAGGCAGCAGUGGGGAAUAUUGCACAAUGGGCGAAAGCCUGAUGCAGCAACGCCGCGUGGGGGAUGACGGCCUUCGGGUUGUAAACCUCUUUUAUUAGGGAAGAAGGGCUUCGGCUUGACGGUACCUGCAAAAAAAGCACCGGCUAACUACGUGCCAGCAGCCGCGGUAAUACGUAGGGGGCAAGCGUUGUCCGGAAUUAUUGGGCGUAAAGAGCUCGAAGGCGGUUUGCCCCGCUUGCUGUGAAAACCCAAGGCUCAACCUCCGGCCUGCAGUGGGUACGGGCAAAUUAUAGUGCGGAGGGGGAGAAUGGAUUCCCUGGUGUAGCGGUGGAAAUGCGCAGAUAUCCAGAGGAACACCGAUGGCGAAGGCAGUUCUCUGGGCCGUUACUGACUCUGAGGAGCGAACGCGUGGGGAGCGAACAAGAUUAGAUACC